UUCCUUAUUGUCAAGACCAAAGUUGGACAGGAAGCCAUCAGGAUUUAAGGACCCAUUUAAACCAUCUCCGGCAUGGCAUCAUCCCCAGCAUCCAUGCCGACCGGUUAUUUGUAACGAGAGGGAGCCAGACCCUUGGCCAGCACACGGGUGUGUUGAGGGCACUGGCUUUGCCACCCACCUGCAGCCCCUCCUGCAACGACGGGAGACUUUGUUCCAAGUCCGCCCCGGAGAGGAGCCAACCUGGCUGCUGGUCUCCAAGCAGGGACAGCCCGAGUCAGCUUGGCUGAAGUGAUGCUGAAGGGGCCACAUCCACGAUAUUUACAUAGGUGAAAUGGGGCUACGCAUGCCCUUGGGGACAGGGCAGCUCUGUCCCACACCCGGUGGGAAGCCCUGAUGCCCAGGUGUCUGAUUCCCCACCUCUUGCUUCAGAUUUCCAUGGAGGGUCUCUGCCCCCGGGGCCUGGACCAGGGCUCCCCCACCAUCCCUGAGAAACCCUGACUCUGGGAUACCGUUGACUGUAGAGGGCACCAUCGACCUAACAACAGCAUGCUGGGAGAGACCGUGAAGCCCCAUCGUAUGUAGCAUUCAUCAUAAUUACAAAUGUGUCCCGAUUCCAGACAAGCUAAAAAGAGAGGAAAAAAAAGCGUGACUUGGAGUCAGGGAAAUGUGGUGUUGUUAUUUUCAUUGUUCACAUUAUUAAUUUGUUUACAUCUCACUUUGUACCCAAAGGGUUUGCUGUGGGGAGUUGGGACGGCUGCUCCCACAUCCCCUCUGACACUUCUUGGCUGAGAGGCGCUCAGUCGGGGAGGAGGAGGGGGAGGAGGCUCAGGCGGCACGUGCAUGCUUGCUUGGCCCGGGACCGUGUGCAGCCACAGACCUGCGAGGACCUCCUCACCUCCUCCCAGCCCAGCGAGGUGCCUACCACCAGGGAGCACUCUCACCUCGAGCCCAGUGUGUGGUCCGUACGACCAGGGAGCACUCUCACCUCCUCCAGCCCAGCGUGGUCCGUAUGACCAGGGAGCACUCUC